rnacentral:lncRNA from 1 species
GGGAGAGGCCGGAAUCGUCGUUCUCGCCGCCCGCCGCGAUGCCGUCAUCCUUCUGCGCGUAGAAGAACUGGGAGAAGACGAGGGCGGGGAUGGUGAGGAGGAUGAAGCCGAGGAUCUCGUCGUUGAUGCCGAGGAUGAGGCCGGUGCCGUCGCCGUUGAGGCGCUCGUCAACCUGCGGGGGGGGAAGGGCGGGGCGGAGAGGUGAGCCGAUUUUUUCAAGGCUGAUUUUUUGGCGAUCCGCGGAGACCGAUUGCCCAUACGGCGCGAUCGGGGAUGACGACACGGGUCCCUCGUUCGUAGUUGGAAUCGCUCGGUCGGGGUUGGGGUUACGGGGGAGCGCGCACGCACCACGGCGAGGGCGGGGAGGGUCUGCGCGACGAGGCCGGUGACCGCGGCGGAGAGCACAGCCUUCUUGGGCACGGAAGCCUUGGCGACGGUGGCCUUGGCGACUGGAUACGAAGGGGGAUAAGGGGGUUGGGAAUUUCGUCAGAUCGUGGCAUUCGCGUGGAGCGUGCUAGGGCUGGAACUAACUUCCGCCGCGGGGGGUUCGAUCGGUUCGCGCGCUUCGCGAUUGGUUGGUUCGGGUGCACUCACCGGUGGCCUUGCGGGCAACCUUGCGGGCCGCGGGCUCUGCGAGAGGGAGAAGAGAGGGGCGAAGGAUCGAGGUCAGCGCUCGCGUCGUCGCCAGAUCGGGGAGAGGGUAGGGAGCUCGUCAACAAUCGCCGGGCGAGGCGAAAGAUGUUGCGAAAAGAAGCGGGGGGCGGCACGAUCCGCGCCCCGUUCGCGUCUGAUCGCGCGGGCACUCAC